GGGUGAUUAGCUCAGUUGGUAGAGGGGGUCGGCGGUUCGAACCCGUCAUCACCCACCA
rnacentral:tRNA from 1 species